rnacentral:rRNA from 1 species
UACGAAGGGGGCUAGCGUUGCUCGGAAUCACUGGGCGUAAAGGGUGUGUAGGCGGACUUUUAAGUCAGGGGUGAAAUCCCGAGGCUCAACCUCGGAACUGCCUUUGAUACUAUUGGUCUUGAAUGUUGUUGAGGUGGGCGGAACGGGUCAUGUAGCGGUGAAAUGCAUAGAUAUGACCCGGAACACCGAUUGCGAAGGCAGCCCGCUAAGCAACUAUUGACGCUGAGGCACGAAAGCGUGGGGAUCAAACAGG